rnacentral:rRNA from 1 species
UACGUAGGUGGCAAGCGUUGUCCGGAUUUACUGGGCGUAAAGAGCGCGCAGGCGGUCGUUCAAGUCGCGUGUGAAAGCCCCCGGCUCAACUGGGGAGGGUCACGCGAUACUGAUCGACUCGAAGGCAGGAGAGGGAAGUGGAAUUCCCGGUGUAGUGGUGAAAUGCGUAGAUAUCGGGAGGAACACCAGUGGCGAAGGCGACUUCCUGGCCUGUUCUUGACGCUGAUGCACGAAAGCUAGGGGAGCAAACAGG